rnacentral:rRNA from 1 species
CGGCGGACGGGUGAGUAACACGUGGAUAACCUACCUAUAAGACUGGGAUAACUUCGGGAAACCGGAGCUAAUACCGGAUAAUAUAUUGAACCGCAUGGUUCAAUAGUGAAAGACGGUUUUGCUGUCACUUAUAGAUGGAUCCGCGCCGCAUUAGCUAGUUGGUAAGGUAACGGCUUACCAAGGCAACGAUGCGUAGCCUACCUGAGAGGGUGAUCGGCCACACUGGAACUGAGACACGGUCCAG